GACGAACGCUGGCGGCGUGCUUAACACAUGCAAGUCGAACGGAAAGGCCCUGCUUUUGUUGGUUGCUCGAGUGGCGCACGGGUGAGUAACACGUGAGUAACCUGCCCUUGACCUUGGGAUAACUUCAGGAAACUGGGGCUAAUACCGGAUAGGAGCUCCUGCUGCAUGGUGGGGGUUGGAAAGUUUCGGCGGUUGGGGAUGGACUCGCGGCUUAUCAGCUUGUUGGUGGGGUAGUGGCUUACCAAGGCUUUGACGGGUAGCCGGCCUGAGAGGGUGACCGGCCACAUUGGGACUGAGAUACGGCCCAGACUCCUACGGGAGGCAGCAGUGGGGAAUAUUGCACAAUGGGCGGAAGCCUGAUGCAGCAACGCCGCGUGCGGGAUGACGGCCUUCGGGUUGUAAACCGCUUUCGCCUGUGACGAAGCGUGAGUGACGGUAAUGGGUAAAGAAGCACCGGCUAACUACGUG
rnacentral:rRNA from 1 species